GGAGGAGUACCCAAGUGGCCAAAGGGGACAGACUGUAAAUCUGCUGGCUUUGCCUUCGAUGGUUCGAAUCCAUCCUCCUCCACCA
rnacentral:tRNA from 5 species